rnacentral:rRNA from 1 species
GACGAACGCUGGCGGCGUGCCUAAUACAUGCAAGUAGAACGCUGAAGCGAGGAGCUUGCUCUUCUUGGAUGAGUUGCGAACGGGUGAGUAACGCGUAGGUAACCUGCCUUGUAGCGGGGGAUAACUAUUUGAAACGAUAGCUAAUACCGCAUAACAAUGGAUGACACAUGUCAUUUAUUUGAAAGGGGCAAUUGCUCCACUACAAGAUGGACCUGCGUUGUAUUAGCUAGUAGGUGAGGUAAUGGCUCACCUAGGCGACGAUACAUAGCCGACCUGAGAGGGUGAACGGCCACACUGGGACUGAGACACGGCCCAGACUUCUACGGGGAGCAGCAGGAGGGAAUCUUCGGCAAUGGGGGGAACGCUGACCGAGCAACGCCGCGUGAGUGAAGGAGGUUUUCCGAUCGUAAAGCUCUGUUGUAAGUCAAGAACGGGUGUGAGAGUGGAAAGUUCACACUGUGACGGUAGCUUACCAGAAAGCGACGGCUAACUACGUG